GUAGUGAUAUGCUUGUUUCAAAGAUUAAGCCAUGCAUGUCUAAGUAUAAGCGAACUUAUACAGUGAAACUGCGGAUGGCUCAUUAAAACAGUUUGAAUUUAUUUGAUGAAUGUAUGAGAAUACUACUUGGAUAACCGUAGUAAUUCUAGAGCUAAUACAUGCAACGACGCCCGACCGUUUCACUACGGAAGGGCUGUAUUUAUUGGAUACCAAAACCAUCCUCCCCUCGGGAAGUUUUGUUUGAUGAUUCACAAUAACUGAUCGGAUCGCCACUGUGGUGGCGACAGGUCAUUCAACAUUCUGCCCUAUCAGCUUUCGAUGGUUGUGUAGUGGACAACCAUGGCCAUAACGGGUAACGGAGAAUCAGGGUUCGAUUCCGGAGAAGGAGCUUGAGAAUUGGCUACUACAUCUAAGGAAGGCAGCAGGCGCGCAAAUUACCCAAUCCCGAUUCGGGGAGGUAGUGACAAAAAAUAACAAUACCGGGCCUUUUUGGGCUUGGUAAUUGGAAUGAGGGAGAGUUAAACGGACCAUCGAGUAUCCAUUGGAGGGCAAGUCUGGUGCCAGCAGCUGCGGUAAUACCAGCUCCAAUAGCGUAUAUUAAAGUUGUUGCAGUUAAAAAGCUCGUAGUUGGACUUGUGUGCGCUGUCCGCGGGUGGCCUGCGCCCAAAAGGGCGUUUCGGUUCGGCCCCGGUGGCGCCUUGAAAUCUGCAGCUGGGGGGACGUUGGCCUUAACUGGUCGGCGACCGCACGCCGGCUGCUCGGUUACUGUGAGAAAAUUAGAGUGUUCAAGGCAGGCAUUGGGUGCAAUUGAAUACAUUAGCAUGGAAUAAUAAAAUAUGGCUCCUGCCGUAUUUUGUUGGUUUUGACUGGUGGGAGUAAUGAUUGAUAGGGACGGUUGGGGGUGCUAGUAUUGAGCGGCCAGAGGUGAAAUUCAUGGAUUCGCUCAAGACUAACUUAUGCGAAAGCAUUCACCAAGGACGUCCUCUUUAAACAAGAACGAAAGUUGGGGGAUCGAAGACGAUCAGAUACCGUCGUAGUCUCAACCAUAAACUAUGUCGACUUGGGAUCGGCGGUAGUUUUUUCAUUAAGACACUGUCGGGACCACGGGAGAAAUCAAAGUGUCUGGACUCUGGGGGAAGUAUGGUCGCAAGGCUGAAACUUGAAGGAAUUGACGGAAGGGCACCACCAGGAGUGGAGCCUGCGGCUUAAUUUGACCCAACACGGGGAAACUUACCAGGUCCAGAGAUGUAGAC
rnacentral:rRNA from 1 species